rnacentral:misc_RNA from 1 species
UACGUAGGGUGCAAGCGUUGCUCGGAAUUAUUGGGCGUAAAGCGCGCGUAGGCGGGUUUGUAAGUCGAUUGUGAAAGCCCUAGGCUUAACCUGGGAAUGGCAGUCGAAACUACAAGUCUUGAGUGCCUGAGAGGAUGGCGGAAUUCCCGGUGUAGUAGUGAAAUACGUAGAUAUCGGGAGGAACACCUGAGGCGAAGGCGGCUAUCUGGCAGUGCACUGACGCUGAGGCGCGAAAGCGUGGGGAGCAAACAGG